rnacentral:lncRNA from 1 species
GGGACUUGGUGCUGGUGGUAGCCAGAGGACUCUGCCCCUGAAGAACACCAAGAAGGUAAAAGGUAGCCUUUCACCAAGUGCAGAGCUUAACAAGAUUAUCUAUAGAAAAGGUGCCAAACUCACUCAGCUUGUCCUUUGGGUGUGUCUGUUAACUCACCAUCUUAGUGCUCCCUUUGGACAUUGACACACCAUCCUGCAAUAUUCCAGUUUAUAUCCUGGCAAUGCCAUCUCCUAAUCAGGGCUUCA